rnacentral:rRNA from 1 species
GUCCUUUUGAAAUUAAUUUAAGGUCUGACCUGCCCACUGAAUUUUUGAAGGGCCGCAGUAAUUUGACUGUGCAAAGGUAGCAUAAUCAUUAGUUUUUUAAUUAAAAGCUUGUAUGAAGGGUUGGACGAAGUAAAAUCUGUCUCUAUUUAAAUUAUUAUAGAAUUUAAUUUUUAAGUUAAAAAGCUUAAAUUUAUUUAAAAGACGAGAAGACCCUAUAGAUCUUUAUAUAAUUUUUAAUAAUUUUAAUUAAGAAUAAUUUAUUUAUUAUUAAGAUUUAUAUUUUAUUGGGGUAAUAAAAAGAUUAAAAUAAUUCUUUUUUUAUUUAAACAUUUAUUUAUGAAUAAUUGAUCCAAUAAUUUUGAUUAAAAGAUUAAGUUACCUUAGGGAUAACAGCGUAAUUUUUUUAGAGAGUUCAUAUCGAUAAAAAAGUUUGCGACCUCGAUGUUGGAUUAAAAAUUAUCUUAGGUGCAGAAGU